rnacentral:lncRNA from 10 species
UGCUCACAUUCCUAGCACCAGUGUUAUGAAAGAGGGGUCCCAAUCCAGACCCCGAAAGAGGGUUCUUAGAUCUUGCACAAGAAGGAAUUCCAGGUGAGUCCACAGAGUAAAGUGAAAGCAAGUUUAUUAAGAAAGUAAAGGAAUGAAAGAAUGGUUGCUCCAUGGACUGAGCAGGGCAUUUCUGAAAGCAAGAGGAGUAAGGCGCCCACCUUAUUAGGUGCAAUGCAUGUUUAUAUAUGAGAUAACAAGGCAAAAAAUCAUGAAAAGGAUGUGGUCUAUUACAAGGGCUCAUGACAAAGGAUUGUUAAUCCUUGUGUAACUACUGACUUUUGCAAGAAUCUAUAUUACUAUCUUUAAAGCAAAAUUUAUUACUAAACAAAGAAUGCUUUUGUGCUUAAGAUAGCAGGACAUCAAGACAUUUCUUGGGUCUGUUAAGUCCUGGGUCUGUUUGGUAAACAUUAUUAACCUGUUCCCUUAACUGUAAACACCCUGUGACUGCGAAUCCCUAACCUCCUGGGAAUGCAGCCCAGCAGGUCUCAGUCUCAUUUUACCCAGCACCUAUUCAACAUGGUUCCAAAGCUUCUGACAGUAAGACACCCCUGGAUUUUCUUUUUUCUUUUUUUUUAAACUUUAUGCUUUGUGGCAUUAAUAAAACCGUCCUCAGGUAACGCUCUAUCCCCAGUCCCAACCAUUAUUACAAAUCUUCCCACAACUGAGCAACACUCCCCCACAUCCCAUUAAAAACCUGCAUUCUCUACCUAUUGUAUUCCAGAGCUACAAUUUCUAGAAGCUUCUUAAACAUGCAAUAACAACAAACACAAUUCCUUCUAAGGGAAAAGAAGGUCCAACCCCAUCGCAAAAUUCCCCAAGAAACAGGAAAGCGUUAAUUCCACCUUAAAUCCCAAGCAGUCAAUAACCCAGUGCCCAUAAUGGGCUCUGCAGAUCACCCCACCCCACCAUCUGCCCCAAUUUCCAAAAUCUGCUCAGCAACCAAAGCCAUUAAAUCCAGAAACUAAUUUGUAAGGAAAACAAUGAAAAGAGUAAUAAUCUCUCCGUAGGAUGCCAAUGGAAGGUCCCACAGGGACUGGUGCACUGUAGAGAAAGGAGAAGGGUACCUGGAAAGAAAUGCCUAUUAACAUUCAAAGCCCCCUAGUGGAAUGGAAGCUGACCUGCUGCAGAAUGAAAAUGUCCCAGCCCACAGGAGCCUGCACUCAGGUUCGCUUUAUUUAUCCUGCAAACAGGAGUUGCUAAUAGCAAACAAUCUUGGGCCUGCUCCCCACAGCUCAGGGGUAGCUCGCAGCGCUGUCCCCAAGACACGUGCCUGGGUUGCUUUGGAGCAAUGCUAUUUGCAAAAGGAGAAAAAGAAAAAUGAAGCAGGGAUGUGGAAGUGGGAGAAAGAGCCAGAAAGGCUGAAGAGUAAGCUGGCAGAGAGGGCAGUCUGGUGGUCUUUGCACAGUUGCUGCAGCGGGGGCCAACCUUGCCGAAGGGAAAUACUGAUGUGAUCUUCUGUUCUUCAUGGAUGGGGGCCAGAUACUCAGAAAUGGGGAGAGAUUCACCUUGAGUCAUCCAGUGAGUCACAGACAGGAGGCAGAAAUAGAUCUUAUGACCCACUGUUCACUGUCAAAGACAUCUUUUAGCAUCUGUAACCAGGAUUCCUGAGUGGGGAUGGAUUCGGGUGCUCCUUGCAUUCAGAUUGGUUCAUUUGAUGAGAUGUCUGUUCUCUUCCAUUCCAAAGGUGAGGAAUGUAAGAUCUGGGGAGUUAAGAUCAUGCCCACAGUCAUCUAGAGGGUAUCUCUGUGAAGCAAGACAAGGUCAUCCUCCACAUCCUCCGCAUGAAUUGACCUCCCCCAAACUUGGGGCCUAACUGUCCAGCUGAGCUCAUAUAUCUUGGUCUGGAGAGCUGCCUCAGACUCUCCAAUGGAUCUAUUCAAACAGCUGCCUCUGUUACCUUGACUCGUCUCAGAUUUCGUCGAACUGAGACAGGUCCUGGCACUAGGAAUGGGAUCAUCUUCAUGCUGAGUCUUGGACACCAACCUGAAUUCUCCUACAGAGAAACUGGACAUCUGCUCUUGAUGGGGUGUAGUGGAUAAGGCAUAGCACCUGUGAUCAGGAGAUCUAGAUCUGAGUCUCAGUUGUGACACUUUUUUCUGUGUUACCUUGGGAAAGUUAUUUACCCUCUCUGAGCCUCAAUUUCCUCACUAAAAGGGGAUCAUGGUACCAACAUGUGUUAAAAGAGUAUUAAAUGAGAUAAUAAGUACUUUGUAAACAAUGUGUUUGUAAUUAAUCAUGAAUCUUAGUUUGAUUAUAUGAUUAUAAUUAUGUUUUUUUCCAGUAAUGGAAAGAGGGCAGGGAUAAAAGGCAGUGAGUGGCCUGAGCUUCUAAAAAUUCUCAUGAGAAGGAUUCAUAGAGGGUUCACCUGGUUCCUUCUAGGAGUUUACUCACAGCCUUAUAAUUUUCAUUAUUUAGAAAAACAAUCACAGAUGUCAUGUAUCACAACUUGCAGAGAACACACCUGCCCCUGAGACAGAGCAAUCAUGAUGAUGGUGGGCAGAUGGGGUCAAUUCUGGGGAACUGGGAUUCCUUGUGGGAAUGGAGGCCAUUUCCCCAUGGGUGACUCACAAUGGCUGAAGAAGGGAGAGGCAAGUAUCUAUUAUACACAAUUAGCAAUCACCCCACAACCCUGGCUCAUGUGAACCCCACCAC